rnacentral:rRNA from 1 species
CAUUUCACCUCCUUCAUCCGAGAUUACCCGCUGAACUUAAGCAUAUCAAUAAGCGGAGGAAAAGAAACCAACAGGGAUUGCCUCAGUAACGGCGAGUGAAGCGGCAAAAGCUCAAAUUUGAAACCCUCGGGAUUGUAAUUUGAAGAUUUGGCAUUGGAGAAAGCUAACCCAAGUUGCUUGGAAUAGUACGUCAUAGAGGGUGACAACCCCGUCUGGCUAACCGUUCUCCAUGUAUUGCCUUAUCAAAGAGUCGAGUUGUUUGGGAAUGCAGCUCAAAGUGGGUGGUAAACUCCAUCUAAAGCUAAAUACUGGUGAGAGACCGAUAGCGAACAAGUACUGUGAAGGAAAGGUGAAAAGAACUUUGAAAAGAGAGUGAAAUAGUAUGUGAAAUUGUUGAUAGGGAAGGAAAUGAGUGGAGAGUGGCCGAGGUUUCAGCCGCCCCUCGUGGGCGGUGUACUGCCGACGCCGAGUCAUCGAUAGCGAGACGAGGGUUACAAAUGGGAGCGCCUUCGGGCGUUCUCCCCUAACCCUCCACACUGCC